rnacentral:ncRNA from 1 species
ACCUCGCUGGCAGGCAGGCAGGGCUCAGUGAGGCGUCCGGACUGGCCCAGAGAGGUGGGCAACUACCACUCAGGGCCGGAAAGCUCUCCAAACUCGGUCAUUUAGAGGAAGUAAAAGUCGUAACAAGGUCUCCGUUGGUGAACCAGCGGAGG